GACGAACGCUGGCGGCGUGCCUAACACAUGCAAGUCGAGCGAAUGAAGUUCCUUCGGGAACGGAUUUAGCGGCGGACGGGUGAGUAACGCGUGGGCAACCUGCCUCAUAGAGGGGAAUAGCCUUCCGAAAGGGAGAUUAAUACCGCAUAAGAUUGUAGUACCGCAUGGUACAGCAAUUAAAGGAGCAAUCCGCUAUGAGAUGGGCCCGCGGCGCAUUAGCUAGUUGGUGAGGUAACGGCUCACCAAGGCGACGAUGCGUAGCCGACCUGAGAGAGUGAUCGGCCACAUUGGGACUGACACACGGCCCAGACUCCUACGGGAGGCAGCAGUGGGGAAUAUUGCACAAUGGGGGAAACCCUGAUGCAGCAACGCCGCGUGAGUGAUGACGGCCUUCGGGUUGUAAAGCUCUGUCUUCAGGGACGAUAAUGACGGUACCUGAGGAGGAAGCCACGGCUAACUACGUGCCAGCCGCCGCCGUAA
rnacentral:rRNA from 1 species